GCUAAGUUAAGCGCUUGAUAGCAUUUUCUGGGUAAAAGGGCUAGUCUAGCCUACCCUAGCUAGUAGAGCUAGCUUCUUCUUCUUCUUCUUCUUUACCUAGCUGAUCAUGGUGUUAAAGGCUAGUAUGGAAGAAUCUGUAAAGCUCAGGAGGGAUAGCGCCAUUUAUGCUUUGCUUUGAUUAUUAGCUUAAUCAUAUAUAUCGCUAUCCAUCCUGGGUUUCCUGGGUUCUUCUU
rnacentral:lncRNA from 1 species